GCCGCGUUGGCGUAGUGGUAGCGCGUCGCACUUGUAAUCCUUAGUAAAGUAGUGGAAUGGCACUACGCUAAGUUAAUGCGAAGGUCACUCGUUCAAUCCGGGUACGUGGCA